AACGCUAGCUACAGGCUUAACACAUGCAAGUCGAGGGGCAGCAUUAUCGAAGCUUGCUUUGAUAGAUGGCGACCGGCGCACGGGUGAGUAACGCGUAUCCAACCUUCCCCAUAGUCAGGAAUAGCCCGGCGAAAGUCGAAUUAAUGCCUGAUGUUUUCCACGGACGGCAUCUGAUGUGGAACAAAGAUUGAUCGCUAUGGGAUGGGGAUGCGUCUGAUUAGCUUGUUGGCGGGGUAACGGCCCACCAAGGCAACGAUCAGUAGGGGUUCUGAGAGGAAGGUCCCCCACAUUGGAACUGAGACACGGUCCAAACUCCUACGGGAGGCAGCAGUGAGGAAUAUUGGUCAAUGGGCGGAAGCCUGAACCAGCCAAGUAGCGUGAGGGAUGACUGCCCUAUGGGUUGUAAACCUCUUUUAUAAGGGAAUAAAAUACGGGACGUGUCCUGUUUUGCAUGUACCUUAUGAAUAAGGACCGGCUAAUUCCGUGCCAGCAGCCGCGGUAAUACGGAAGGUCCGGGCGUUAUCCGGAUUUAUUGGGUUUAAAGGGAGCGCAGGCGGUCUUAUAAGCGUGACGUGAAAUGCAGCGGCUCAACCGUAUGAUGUGCGUCGCGAACUGUGAGACUUGAGUGUAUUCGAUGUCAGCGGAAUUUGUGGUGUAGCGGUGAAAUGCUUAGAUAUCACGAAGAACUCCGAUUG
rnacentral:rRNA from 2 species